rnacentral:rRNA from 1 species
CAGUAGCCGCGGUAAUACGUAGGGUGCAAGCGUUAAUCGGAAUUACUGGGCGUAAAGCGUGCGCAGGCGGUUAUAUAAGACAGAUGUGAAAUCCCCGGGCUCAACCUGGGAACUGCAUUUGUGACUGUAUAGCUAGAGUACGGCAGAGGGGGAUGGAAUUCCGCGUGUAGCAGUGAAAUGCGUAGAUAUGCGGAUGAACACCGAUGGCGAAGGCAAUCCCCUGGGCCUGUACUGACGCUCAUGCACGAAAGCGUGGGGAGCAAACAGGAUUAGAUACCCCCGUAGUCCCUGUCUCUUAUAU